AUCACGUUGAAAGACCGGUUCCCGUAUGAUUACUGAAGUUAAGCACCGUCGUGCUUGGUCAGUAUCUAGAUGGGUGACCACUUGAGAAUC